rnacentral:rRNA from 1 species
UUCCAGACUCCUACGGGAGGCAGCAGUGGGGGAUAUUGCACAAUGGGGGAAACCCUGAUGCAGCGACGCCGCGUGAGUGAAGAAGUAAUUCGUUACGUAAAGCUCUAUCAGCAGGGAAGAAAAUGACGGUACCUGACUAAGAAGCCCCGGCUAACUACGUGCCAGCAGCCGCGGUAAUACGUAGGGGGCAAGCGUUAUCCGGAAUUACUGGGUGUAAAGGGAGCGUAGACGGCAUGGCAAGUCAGAUGUGAAAGCCCGGGGCUCAACCCCGGGACUGCAUUUGAAACUGUCAGGCUGGAGUGCAGGAGAGGUAAGUGGAAUUCCUAGUGUAGCGGUGAAAUGCGUAGAUAUUAGGAGGAACACCAGUGGCGAAGGCGGCUUACUGGACUGCAACUGACACUGAGGCUCGAAAGUGUGGGUAUCAAACAGGAUUAGAUACCCGCGUACA